ACGCUCGACACCUGGAGGCAGCAGUGGGGAAUAUUGCACAAUGGGGGAAACCCUGAUGCAGCAACGCCGCGUGAAGGAAGACGGUUUUCGGAUUGUAAACUUCUGUUCUUAGUGAAGAUAGUGACGGUAGCUAAGGAGCAAGCCACGGCUAACUACGCGCCAGCAGCCGCGGUAAUCUGAGCGGGCUGGCAAGGC
rnacentral:rRNA from 1 species